rnacentral:rRNA from 1 species
GACGAACGCUGGCGGCGUGCUUAACACAUGCAAGUCGAACGGAAAGGCCCCCUUGUGGGGUACUCGAGUGGCGAACGGGUGAGUAACACGUGAGUAACCUACCCUUGACUUUGGGAUAACUUCAGGAAACUGGGGCUAAUACCGGAUAGGAGCUCCUGCUGCAUGGUGGGGGUUGGAAAGUUUCGGCGGUUGGGGAUGGGCUCGCGGCUUAUCAGCUUGUUGGUGGGGUAGUGGCUCACCAAGGCUUUGACGGGUAGCCGGCCUGAGAGGGUGACCGGCCACAUUGGGACUGAGAUACGGCCCAGACUCCUACGGGAGGCAGCAGUGGGGAAUAUUGCACAAUGGGCGGAAGCCUGAUGCAGCAACGCCGCGUGCGGGAUGACGGCCUUCGGGUUGUAAACCGCUUUCGCCUGUGACGAAGCGUGAGUGACGGUAAUGGGUAAAGAAGCACCGGCUAACUACGU